UACGUAGGGUGCAAGCGUUAAUCGGAAUUACUGGGCGUAAAGCGUGCGCAGGCGGUUGUGCAAGACAGGUGUGAAAUCCCCGGGCUUAACCUGGGAACUGCACCUGUGACUGCACAGCUGGAGUGCGGCAGAGGGGGAUGGAAUUCCGCGUGUAGCAGUGAAAUGCGUAGAUAUGCGGAGGAACACCGAUGGCGAAGGCAAUCCCCUGGGCCUGCACUGACGCUCAUGCACGAAAGCGUGGGGAGCAAACAGG
rnacentral:rRNA from 1 species